GCAGGAUCCGGGACACUCACAGGUGUGGAGACACUCUGUGAUGGUGGUGGCGUCCACGAAGUAGCCGGCGCACAGGCAGCAAACGAUGUGCUCGUUCAGGUCUUUGAUCUUCACUCGGACCUCCUCCUGUGGACACACCCUCCUCGGUCACUGCUCACUCGUCUCGCAAGCCCUGCCCACGUCACCUCUGCACUUCCCAGCUCCAGAGCAGUUCCUGUCACUGGACUCGGCCCGAGGAAGUGGGGGUAAGGGGGGAGAUGCGCUCCCCCUCCGCCCAGCAGAGGGCUCCGCGCACAGCGGGUGCUCUCUUCUCGGGGACUCGCCUGGCCCUCCUCCUUUCCCUAGGGAGACCGAACGCCGUCAAUGACACAACGCGCAAGCGUCCCAGUCCAGCGUUUGGCAGCCCUGUCGGAAUCGCGCGUGCGUACCACGCACCCCCAAUGCUGCGCAGGCGCACUGGGCGCCCGUCCCGCCACCGCCCGUCCUCUCGCCCGCUUGGGUUCGCACAGCUAACGGGCCCCAGAAGUCAACCCGCCGCCCCUGCACCUCGUUCCGUAGCGGGUCCAUCUUGUACACUGACUGGAGCUGGUUCCGAAGCCUCAUCGCGAUCGCAAUCUGGCCCCCCUGAGGAGACGCCAUCUUAAAGGCUGAUCCCAGCCCGCCACUUCCGCGUUAUUAGCACCGAGUACAAUUGGAGAUUGGAGCCAGAGGGGAGCUACCGCCUGGACAUUGAAAGUGUGAUGGAAAUGGGAAAGACAGGUAGUGUGGAGCGGGGAAUGAUGGAGAAAACAGAAGGUGUGGAUUGGGAGUGGGAAUAGAAGGAAUGUGGCCAAAAAGGGUUGGGAUGAAUAGAUUGAUGGCAACAGGUACCUGACAGAAAGGUGUGUGUGUGUGUGUGUGUGUGUGUGUGUGUGUGUGUGUGUGUGUUACCCCACGAAUGGAAUAAGAUGUCCUCUUCAGAAUGGAGUACAUAAUCAGCAAGAAAGUGUUAACGACUUGUUAAUCAACUAAUUAAAGCUAUGGUUUACCUC